rnacentral:rRNA from 1 species
AACGAACGCUGGCGGCAUGCCUAACACAUGCAAGUCGAACGAAGCCUUCGGGCUUAGUGGCGCACGGGUGCGUAACGCGUGGGAAUCUGCCCUUGGGUUCGGAAUAACAGUUAGAAAUGACUGCUAAUACCGAAUGAUGUCUUCGGACCAAAGAUUUAUCGCCCAAGGAUGAGCCCGCGUCGGAUUAGCUAGUUGGUGAGGUAAAGGCUCACCAAGGCGACGAUCCGUAGCUGGUCUGAGAGGAUGGUCAGCCACACUGGGACUGAGACACGGCCCAGACUCCUACGGGAGGCAGCAGUGGGGAAUAUUGGACAAUGGGCGAAAGCCUGAUCCAGCAAUGCCGCGUGAGUGAUGAAGGCCUUAGGGUUGUAAAGCUCUUUUACCCGGGAUGAUAAUGACAGUACCGGGAGAAUAAGCCCCGGCUAACUCCGUGCCAGCAGCCGCGGUAAU